AGUGGCGGACGGGUGAGUAUCGCGUAGGAAUGUAUCCUGAGGUGGGGGACAACCCUGGGAAACUGGGGCUAAUACCGCAUGGGAGCUGAGGCCCAAAGCCUUCGGGCGCCUUGGGAGCAGCCUGCGUCCGAUUAGGUAGUUGGUGGGGUAAAGGCCUACCAAGCCUGCGAUCGGUAGCUGGUCUGAGAGGACGAUCAGCCACACUGGGACUGAGACACGGCCCAGACUCCUACGGGAGGCAGCAGUGGGGAAUAUUGGACAAUGGGCGCAAGCCUGAUCCAGCAAUGCCGCGUGGGUGAAGAAGGUCUUCGGAUUGUAAAGCCCUUUCGACGGGGACGAUGAUGACGGUACCCGUAGAAGAAGCCCCGGCUAACUUCGUGCCAGCAGCCGCGGUAAUACGAAGGGGGCUAGCGUUGCUCGGAAUUACUGGGCGUAAAGGGCGCGUAGGCGGCACUGUUAGUCAGGCGUGAAAUUCCUGGGCUCAACCUGGGGACUGCGCUUGAUACGGCGGAGCUAGAGGAUGGAAGAGGCUCGCGGAAUUCCCAGUGUAGAGGUGAAAUUCGUAGAUAUUGGGAAGAACACCGGUGGCGAAGGCGGCGAGCUGGUCCAUUACUGACGCUGAGGCGCGACAGCGUGGGGAGCAAAC
rnacentral:rRNA from 1 species